rnacentral:rRNA from 1 species
UAUACAGCGAAACUGCGAAUGGCUCAUUAUAUAAGUUAUCGUUUAUUUGUUAGUGCCUUACUACUUGGAUAACCGUGGUAAUUCUAGAGCUAAUACAUGCUAAAAACCCCGACUUCGGAAGGGGUGUAUUUAUUAGAUACAAAACCAAUGCCCUUCGGGGCUCUUUGGUGAUUCAUGAUAACUAUACGAAUCGCACGGCCUUGCGCCGGCGAUGGUUCAUUCAAAUUUCUUCCCUAUCAACUUUCGAUGUUUGGGUAUUGGCCAAACAUGGUUGCAACGGGUAACGGAGGGUUAGGGCUCGACCCCGGAGAAGGAGCCUGAGAAACGGCUACUACAUCCAAGGAAGGCAGCAGGCGCGCAAAUUACCCAAUCCCGACUCGGGGAGGUAGUGACAAUAAAUACUGAUACAGGGCCCUUUCGGGCCUUGUAAUUGGAAUGAGUACAAUUUAAAUCCCUUAACGAGGAACAAUUGGAGGGCAAGUCUGGUGCCAGCAGCCGCGGUAAUUCCAGCUCCAAUAGCGUAUAU